UUUUUCAUUCUACUGCAGUGGAAGAACAUUGUUCAUCUGCUGUCUGUUUGGCUUUAACAACUCCAAAGACAUGUUGCUUUACCUGUUUUUACUUUUCUCUCCCUUUAUAGCCCUGGGUUCCAUGAACAGCAUAAACCCAGAAAGUACUGAAGAACAUGUUGCAGAGGGCAGAAACAUCAACCUGACCUGUACAUAUGAGGGUGUUAUCAACAAUAUCCAGUGGUACCGACAAUACCAGAGAUCCAGACCAGAGUUCCUGCUCUACAUCACAGAAGGAGGGUUGAUUCAUCCAACUGGUUCUGAUUUCUCAGCUCACAUUGACAAGAAAGGGAAACGUGUUGAUCUGGAGAUCUCCUCAGCUAAGGUGUCUGACUCUGCUGUGUACUACUGUGCUCUGAGGCCCGUAUGCUACAUUAUAUACUCCAAACAAGCGGAUAACAAUGAUUAUUUCUUCUGGUAUAGACAAUAUCCAGGAAAACCACCAGAGUUCAUCAUCUUUCACUUUGGAACACAAAGUGCAACAAACUCUCGACUGAAUGUUUCUGUAAGUGAGGAUAAAACCAAAGUGGUUCUUCAGAUCUCCUCUGCUGCAGUGACAGACUCUGCUCUGUACUACUGUGCUGUGUCAGCUGUGAAGAACUGA